rnacentral:lncRNA from 1 species
GAGUCCCCGAGGGAGGCUACGGUAGGAUAUCUUCCCUAGAGACAGGGUCUUGCUCUGUUGCCCAGGCAGGUCUUGAAUUCCUGGGCUCAAGCGAUCCUCCUGCCUCAGCCUCUUGAGUAGUUUACUACAAGAUCUUUUCUGGCCUGAGAAAGGGGGCCUCCCCUGUCUAGAGGGAGAUCGGGCUCUCCCUGUGAGUGGGCCAAGGAGCCUCUUGGAGAGGGUUUCUAGAUUUAGCAAAUAAAAAUACAGGGUACUCGGUUAAAUUUGAACUUGCAUUUCAGAUAAACGACGAAUAACUUUUUAGCAUGAGUAUUUCUCAUGCAAUAUUGGCUACAUACUUACACUUAAAAAAAAUUGUUACCUGAAAUUCAAAUGUAACUGGAUGCCCUGUGUUUUAUCUGGUAAUCCCAGUCUUGGAAGGAAAAGGAUCAAAUACGAACCCCCUAAUUCUCUGAGCCUUCUUGGUCCAGCCUACACAGCUGGAAGCCCAAAGGUGGCGCUCUUGGAGUCUGACCUCCCCUGGCACAGGGUUUGAGAUGGUCUUUACCCAGCUCCACUGGCCCAAAAGUAGCCCAUAGACCCAAAAGGGGCCUAGCACCUCUCCCCAGGGCAUCAGGAUGGGGCCCCAGGUCCCCAACUGGUUGUCCUGUGGACCUCAGGGAAUGACGACGCAGGAGUCAAGAGCCUCGGUUGCAGCUCCCGCUGUGCCGCCCACGACUGGCUCCGGGGUCAGAUGAUCUGCUGGUUCAAAUCCUGACUCAGCCUCCUACUAGCCAGGCCAGUCUCUAGACCCCUCCCAGCCUCCAUGUCCUCACCUGAGAAAACAGGGUCACAAUACCUGCCUUGCCAACGUGAUGAGGACCAGCGGAGAAGGUGAAAGGGCUUAUAUUCCAAAGCCCACAAGGUUGAAGAUGCACACCCGUGACACAGCCUCAGGAUGUCCUGACGACAUGUGCCAAGGUGGUCAUACGUUUUAGGGAGACAUGAGACAUCAAUCAACACAUGUAAGAUGAACAUUGGUUCAGUCUGGAAAAGGCCGGGCAACGCCAAGCAAAUGUGGGACAACUCGCAGCCAGGAGAAAGCUUCCAGGUCACAGGUGGGUGAGAGACAAAGGUCGCAUUCUUUUGAGUUUCUGAUGGGCCUUUCCAAAGAAGGCAAUCAGAUAUGCAUCUAUCUCAGUGAGCAGGGGGUGAUUUUGAAUAGAAUGGGGGGCAGGUCGGCCCUAAGCCAUUCCCGGCUUGACUUUCCCCUUUAGCUUAGUGAUUUUGGGGGCCCAAGAUUUAUUUUCCUUUCACAAAACAAUAAACAUAACAAAUAAGUGAAUUAUAGAAAGGUGAAAACUAUGGAAAAAAAAGAAAAACAGAGAGAAAGAAUCCUGAACACUGACGUGGGGAGGGCAGGUGCCAGCUGCAGUACUAAAUAGCAGAGGGGAGGGCAGGUGCCAGCUGCAGUACCAAAUACUGGUGUGGGGAGGGCAGGUGCCAGCUGCAGUGCGUGGGGAGGGCAGGUGCCAGCUGCAGUACUAAAUAGCGGGGGAAGAUUUUUUUCUGAGCAACUUUGAGUCACUGCUCACAUCUCAUGCCAAUGUAUUAAUCCCAAGUCAAGGGUCAGAUGAGGCACUCGGAUCUCUCCAGUUGCCAACACAGCUCUUCCAAGUGUACUUUACUUCCUUUCAUUCCUGCUCUAAAACUUUAUUUAUGUAUUUAUUUUUGAGACAGAAUCUUGCUCUGUCGCCUAGGCUGGAGUGCAGUGGCACAAUCCCAGUUCACUGCAACCUCUGCCUCUGGGAUCAGGCAAUUCUCCUGCCUCAGCUUCCUAAGCAGCUGGGAUAACAGGCGUGCACCACCGUGCUUGGCUAAUUUUUUUUUUCUUUUUUCGUAUUUUGAGUAGAGAUGGGGUUUCACCAUAUUAGCCACGAUGGUCUCGUACUUCUGACCUCAGGUGAUCCACCUGCUUUAGCCUCCCAAAGUGCUGGGAUUACAGGUGUGAGCCACCACGCCCAGCCCUGGCCAACUUUUGUUUUUUUUGAGACAGAGUUUCAUUCUUAUUGCCCAGGCUGGAGUGCGAUGGCCCAAUCUUGGCUCACUGCAACCUCUGCCUCCCAGGUUUGUAGGAUAUAAUAAAUUCUUCUUCAAAGGUUUUAGCCUGUAAAUUGUUAAGUACAAUGAGUUCUGAGAUCCUCUCCAAAGAAUCAAUGUAUCAGUAUGUUCAGCUCUUCAUUUUAAAGUUUAACUUCCUCGUUUUCUUCAUCUCCUUGCCCCUAGUUUCAGUAAACAACCCCCUCCUAGCCUCUAUCACCUGCUCCAUCCUGAGUCACCCCCAGUCACCUGCUCUAAUCUGAGUCAUCCUGAGUCAACAGGGUUUCACCAUGUUGGCCAAGUUGGUCUCGAACUCCUGACCUCAUGUGAUCCGCCCACCUCAGCCUCCCAAAGUGCUGGGAUUACAGGUGUAAGCCAUCGUGCCUGGCCAGUUUUCACUUUAAAAUGAUCUCUAAUACCAACUCUUGGGGUCCGAAUGGGUCCCCACUGGUUUCAAAUGUUGAGCAUGCACAGAUUAUGUGGAUGAGAACUUGCCAGGUGGGCUUACCGAAGGAGACGUGGUAAGAAUCGCCUACAUCUGCCAGGCCCUGAGGACAGGCCCUCUCCACACCGAGGCUUAUUUCCUUGGGUUGCAGAAGAGGAAACGCCAGGGAGCCCAGUAUUCUUUGGUUCAUUCACUUCUUUUUUAUGUUGUAACCUACAUACUGUAAACUACGCCCAGCUUAAGUAGCGUAUACCCUGAUGAAUUUUUAUGUACGUAUGUAUCCCCAGGAUGUAUCCGACACUCAGGUCAAGAUACAGAACGUGCUCAGCACCUCAACAGGUGCCCUUGUGUUCCCUUCCAGUCAAGCCCCCACUUGCCACCACAGAAUGGAACAAUCAUUUUUUUUUUUUUUUUAGAGACAGGGUCUCGCUCUGUCUCCAAAGCUGGAGUGCAGCUCCAUCAUGGUUCACUGCAGCCUCCGCCUCCCGGGUUUGAGCGAUCCUCCCAUUUCAGUGUAACCACCAUUCUUAUCUCUAUCACCAUAGAUUAGCUCUGCAUGUCUUUGAACUUCAUAUAAAUGGAAUCAUGCAUAGAUAGGCUCUUUUGUGUCUGGAUUCUCUCUGUUAACACUGUGUCUGUGAGACUCACUCACGCUGUGUGUAGUAUUAUGCUUCAUCCUUUUUUGUUGUUGCAUAGUAUUCCACUGUAUAAAUAUACCACAAUUUAUUUGUCUGUUUUCCUAUUGCUGUGCAUUUGGAUUGUUUUGUUUUUCACUAUUUUGAAUAAAGCUGCUAUGAACAUCCUUGUGUAUGUCUUGGGUAUACAGAUGGUCCUGGCUUACAAUGAUUGGAUUUAAAAUUGUUUGACUUUAUGAUGGGCUUAUCAGGGUAUUAAAUGUGUUUCUGACUUACAGUAUUUUUGACUUACCACGUGUUUAUUGGGACGUAACCCCUUCCUAAGAUGAAGAGCAUCUGUAUACAUCCAGAAUCCUGUGGAGCAACUCAUAACCCAUGAGGAAUGGAAGCCGACAGACAGACUCAUCCCCAGGACAGGUGGUUCUCACUACAUCUCAUAAAGCUUCUUAGAAGAUCUUACAGGAUUGAGCAACCAGCCAGCCACAGCAGGGGCCAACUGGAUAACACGUCUUUGCAUAGGCUCUCCCUCUGUCCCUGUCACCCUCCCCUUUUCCUAACCUUGUUCCUUGGGAUUAUGUUUUGAAAUAAAUUAUUCAGAGAAAUGAAGCCAAAGCUGACCCAUUAGCCAAUAGCUAGGUUCUGUGAUGACAGAGCUUCUGGGCUAUAAUCGUUUACUGAGAAGCCAGCGUUCCUGAGGGGAUAAUGGCUCGUUCCAUUCAGCUGCAGCAUAGGAGUGAGGGCAGGGCAUUAGCAGAAGAUAACACCAGAAACGUGCUCUGGGGCCUGUUGAUGACUUUCUGUGCCAAGCACAGACAUUUAGCCUUUAUUCUGUAUGUGAUGGGAAGCCAGUGCCAGUGGUGGGUUUGAGCAGGGAACCAGCAACCAGUGGUGGGUUUGAGCAGGGAACCAGCAAUACUCAAGCUCUGCUUGGAUGGAGGCCAGUCAGGGAGGAGUUAGGGCAGGAGGACCAGUCAGGGAGGAGACUUAGGGCAGGAGGACCAGUCAGGGAGGAGACUUAGGGCAGGAGGACCGGUCAGGGAGGAGACUUAGGGCAGGAGUACUGGUCAGGGAGGAGACUUAGGGCAGGAGGACCGGUCAGGGAGGAGACUUAGGGCAGGAGGACCGGUCAGGGAGGAGACUUAGGGCAGGAGGACCGGUCAGGGAGGAGUUAGGGCUGGAGGACGGGUCAGGGAGGAGACUUAGGGCAGGAGGACCGGUCAGGGAGGAGUUAGGGCUGGAGGACCGGUCAGGGAGGAGUUAGGGCAGGAGGACUGGUCAGGGAGGAGACUUAGGGCAGGAGGACCGGUCAGGGAGGAGACUUAGGGCAGGAGGACCGGUCAGGGAGGAGACUUAGGGCAGGAGGACUGGUCAGGGAGGAGACUUAGGGCAGGAGGACAGGUCAGGGAGGAGUUAGGGCUGGAGGACGGGUCAGGGAGGAGUUAGGGCUGGAGGACCGGUCAGGGAGGAGUUAGGGCAGGAGGACGGGUCAGGGAGGAGUUAGGGGAGGAGGACUGGUCAGGGAGGAGUUAGGGCUGGAGGACCGGUCAGGGAGGAGUUAGGGCAGGAGGACCGGUCAGGGAGGAGUUAGGGCUGGAGGACCGGUCAGGGAGGAGUUAGGGCAGGAGGACCGGUCAGGGAGGAGUUAGGGCAGGAGGACCGGUCAGGGAGGAGACUUAGGGCAGGAGGACUGGUCAGGGAGGAGUUAGGGCUGGAGGACCGGUCAGGGAGGAGUUAGGGCAGGAGGACUGGUCAGGGAGGAGUUAGGGCAGGAGGACAGGUCAGGGAGGAGUUAGGGCAGGAGGAUCGGUCAGGGAGGAGUUAGGGCAGGAGGACCGGUCAGGGAGGAGUUAGGGCAGGAGGACCGGUCAGGGAGGAGUUAGGGCAGGAGGACAGGUCAGGGAGGAGACUUAGGGCUGGAGGACUGGUCAGGGAGGAGUUAGGGCAGGAGGACCAGUUAGGAGGCAGUGACUUAGGACUUCAGCAGUGGCACUAGAAAGGGGAUGGAUAUGAACGACAUUGCAAAGUAAAACUAGAGAGACGGCCGGGCACAGUGGCUCACUCCUGUAAUCCCAGCACUUUGGGAGGCCAAGGCGGGUGGAUCAUGAGGUCAGGAGAUCGAGACCAGCCUGGCCAACAUGGUGAAACCCUAUCUCUACUAGAAAAAAAAAAAAAUAGCCAGGCGUGGUGGCGGGCGCCUGUAAUCCCAGCUACUCCAGAGGCUGAGGCAGGAGAAUUUGCUUGAACCAGGGAGUCGGAAGUUGCAGUGAGCUGAGAUCGCACCACUGCACUCCAGCCUGGGCAAUAGAGUGAGACUCCGUCUCAAUAACAAAACAAACAAACAAAAACCUAGAGAGACUUGGCACCUUGCAGAGAGAAGCAAAAGAUGACCCUGAGGUCUGGAGUCCAGGAAGCCAAGGACAGCAAAAGCAUCCACAGAAACAGGAAAAGGGCAGGUGUGGGAGGGAAGGUGAGAGGUUCAUCAGACCUCACAGCCCCUGGCAGCGCCUCCUGGAUCUUUGAAAUCCUGUGCACCCCAGGAGACUCCGGGAGGCCCAUCUGAGCUCACCGGAGACAGGUCUGCCGUCUCUCCUCUCAUCACUGGGGACAGAAAGCCUGAACAUGAGGCCUGGACUACGGGGCUCAGACCAGAAUAUUUCCAGACUUAAGGGCAGUAAUGUGGAGCCCAGGAAGGAAUAUUGAGGACAGAGGGCACAUUACUUAGCUCAAGGGGUGCUGGGUUCUUAUUUUCUACUUUCAAGAAAUGUUUGCUAUAGUCACUGUAACCACCACAAAACAGUGAAUAAUACCAUGAGCCAAAUGUAUGUUUCACAAUUUGUAUGGCUGAUUCUACGCACAUUUAAAUGUGUUUAUGACAAUUGUAGAUUUCGGUUUUCCUCUGG